UACGAAGGGGGCUAGCGUUGUUCGGAAUCACUGGGCGUAAAGGGCGCGUAGGUGGCGCCCCAAGUCGAUGGUGAAAGCUCGCCGCUCAACGGCGAGUCGGCCACCGAUACUGGGGCGCUUGAGCACUGUAGAGGCUAAUGGAAUUCCGGGUGUAGCGGUGGAAUGCGUAGAGAUCCGGAAGAACACCGGUGGCGAAGGCGGUUAGCUGGGCAGUUGCUGACACUGAGGCGCGACAGCGUGGGGAGCAAACAGG
rnacentral:rRNA from 1 species